UACGUAGGGUGCGAGCGUUGUCCGGAAUUAUUGGGCGUAAAGAGCUUGUAGGCGGUUUGUCGCGUCUGCUGUGAAAAUCCGAGGCUCAACCUCGGACUUGCAGUGGGUACGGGCAGACUAGAGUGUGGUAGGGGAGACUGGAAUUCCUGGUGUAGCGGUGGAAUGCGCAGAUAUCAGGAGGGGCACCGAUGGCGAAGGCAGGUCUCUGGGCCAUUACUGACACUGAGAAGCGAAAGCAUGGGGAGCGAACAGG
rnacentral:rRNA from 1 species